GACGAACGCUGGCGGCGUGCUUAACACAUGCAAGUCGAACGCUGAAGGCCCAGCUUGCUGGGUUGGAUGAGUGGCGAACGGGUGAGUAACACGUGAGUAACCUGCCCCCUUCUUUGGGAUAACGGUCGGAAACGGCUGCUAAUACCGGGUAUUCACUGUCCUUCGCAUGGGGGGUGGUGGAAAGGUUUUUUCUGGUGGGGGAUGGGCUCGCGGCCUAUCAGCUUGUUGGUGGGGUGAUGGCUUACCAAGGCUUUGACGGGUAACCGGCCUGAGAGGGUGACCGGUCACAUUGGGACUGAGAUACGGCCCAGACUCCUACGGGAGGCAGCAGUGGGGAAUAUUGCACAAUGGGCGAAAGCCUGAUGCAGCGACGCCGCGUGAGGGAUGGAGGCCUUCGGGUUGUAAACCUCUUUCGCUCAUGGUCAAGCCGCAACAGUGGUUGUGGUGAGGGUAGUGGGUAAAGAAGCACCGGCUAACUACGUGCCAGCAGCCGCGGUAAUACGUAGGGUGCGAGCGUUGUCCGGAACUAUUGGGCGUAAAGGGCUUGUAGGCGGUUUGUCGCGUCUGCCGUGAAAUCCUCUGGCUUAACUGGGGGCGUGCGGUGGGUACGGGCAGGCUUGAGUGCGGUAGGGGAGACUGGAACUCCUGGUGUAGCGGUGGAAUGCGCAGAUAUCAGGAAGAACACCGGUGGCGAAGGCGGGUCUCUGGGCCGUUACUGACGCUGAGGAGCGAAAGCGUGGGGAGCGAACAGG
rnacentral:rRNA from 1 species